rnacentral:rRNA from 1 species
ACAUGCAGUCGAGCGGUAGAGAGAAGCUUGCUUCUCUUGAGAGCGGCGGACGGGUGAGUAAUGCCUAGGAAUCUGCCUGGUAGUGGGGGAUAACGUUCGGAAACGGACGCUAAUACCGCAUACGUCCUACGGGAGAAAGCAGGGGACCUUCGGGCCUUGCGCUAUCAGAUGAGCCUAGGUCGGAUUAGCUAGUUGGUGAGGUAAUGGCUCACCAAGGCGACGAUCCGUAACUGGUCUGAGAGGAUGAUCAGUCACACUGGAACUGAGACACGGUCCAGACUCCUACGGGAGGCAGCAGUGGGGAAUAUUGGACAAUGGGCGAAAGCCUGAUCCAGCCAUGCCGCGUGUGUGAAGAAGGUCUUCGGAUUGUAAAGCACUUUAAGUUGGGAGGAAGGGUUGUAGAUUAAUACUCUGCAAUUUUGACGUUACCGACAGAAUAAGCACCGGCUAACUCUGUGCCAGCAGCCGCGGUAAUACAGAGGGUGCAAGCGUUAAUCGGAAUUACUGGGCGUAAAGCGCGCGUAGGUGGUUUGUUAAGUUGGAUGUGAAAUCCCCGGGCUCAACCUGGGAACUGCAUUCAAAACUGACUGACUAGAGUAUG